rnacentral:tRNA from 1 species
GCCUUUGUGGUGUAGUGGUUAGCACGUUCGGCGCGUAUUCGAGGGGUCCGUGGUUCGAGUCCCAGUGAGGGCA